rnacentral:tRNA from 1 species
GCCGGGGUGGUGGAAUUGGCAGACACACAGGACUUAAAAUCCUGCGGUUGGUGACAACCGUGCCGGUUCGAGUCCGGCCCUCGGCAUCA